rnacentral:rRNA from 1 species
UACGUAGGGAGCAAGCGUUGUCCGGAAUCAUUGGGCGUAAAGAGCGCGUAGGCGGCCCUGUAAGUCCGUUCUGAAAGUCGGGAGGCUCAACCUCCGAAAGCGGAUGGAUACUGCAGGGCUAGAGUCCGGAAGAGGCGAGUGGAAUUCCUGGUGUAGCGGUGGAAUGCGCAGGAUAUCGAGGAGGAACACCGAGUGGCGAAGGCAGCUCGCUGGGACGGUACUGACGCUGAUGAAGCGAA